AUCUCUUCGGAGACAUCUGAUAAAAUUGGAAUGAUACAAAGAAGAUUAGCAUGUCCUCUACGCAAGGAUGACAUGCAUAAAACGAGAAAUGGUCCAAAUGUUU